UACGGGGGGAGCAAGCGUUGUUCGGAUUUACUGGGCGUAAAGGGCGCGUAGGCGGUCAGCACAAGUCAGUUGUGAAAUCUCCGGGCUUAACUCGGAAAGGUCAACUGAUACUGUGCGACUAGAGUGCAGAAGGGGCAACUGGAAUUCUCGGUGUAGCGGUGAAAUGCGUAGAUAUCGAGAGGAACACCUGCGGCGAAGGCGGGUUGCUGGGCUGACACUGACGCUGAUGCGCGAAGCCAGGGGAGCAAACGGG
rnacentral:rRNA from 1 species